CAAGGUCACACAGCUCUUGCGAGGUGGAGAUGGCUCACAGCUGAGAGGAGGAGGGGAGGAGGGGUCUGCAGAGGGAGAUAACAGAGGCAUAUAGGAUGAGAUCCUUGUUUCUCUCAAAUGCUUGGUAAGCACCUUUUCCUCUCUCACUCUGUAGGGACUGGAGGAGGAAGAGAAGGACAGAGAAGAAGCGGAGUGGAGCUGGUGACGGCUUUCAGCCAAGCCCGGGAGCUGUGACUGCUGCACCCUCACAAGAUUUAUUUUUAGACAGCCCCCAAGUGCCAGCAUGCAGGGCUUACCACUCGGGCUGCAGGAGUGCAGGGGAGGAGCUGAGGCGGGCUGGAGUCCUGAGAAGACCUUCUACCUGCAGGAGCUGGGCUCGGGAUGGGAGUGGAUCUGGUGCCCGUGUGCGAUGAACACGCUUGUAUAAGUAGAUUAAGGGACAUUCAUACAAGUACAGAGGUAUCCUGUCCAGUCUGGGCCUCACCCCUACCUCCCUCCACCAUCAAAUGGGUACCAGGAGAAAGCUGCUGUAUGAAGACUCGGGAUGGGAAGAGUCAAGCACUGGGUGACCUCGAGGCUGACUUUGGCACGGACUGCACUUCAUAACCAAGACUUCAGGGGCUGUUUUGUCCCUGGAUAUGAGGCCUGGCUGUCUCUCUCAUCGACUCCUCUCAGUAAGUUUCAUUCGUUCAGAGAUUCCCCACUGAACAUGCCCUCUGUAUAGCAUCUGAGUCAGAUGCUUUGGGGUUUUCUGGUCGUCUGUGUGUUUUAGAUAGGAGAAAGCACCACGUCUGUCUCUUGUUCGGAACAGCUGAACACCAGACUGGCUGUAGCAGAAAAAUGGCAGAAUGUAUACUGGAUGGAUGGAUAGGCGGGAGGAUGCAGGAGAGAGGGAAGGAAAGAAUAGCUAGCCAGAGCAAAGAGCAACUCCCCAUUGACCAAGUGGCCCCUGGGACUGGGGUGAGAUGCUGAUUCAGGACCUAUAAUGACAUUUCUCCUCAUUUCCAGGCAGAAAGCCAAUCUGGAUGCCCUGGAUUUCAUAGACUGCCAUCUAAUCCAGUUAGGGGAGGAAGUAGAAGUAAUGAAAUCAAGGGCGAGGUCUCCAGAGGUGCCCCCGUCAGUUCUGAAAGCAGGGACACAUUGUUGAGAGAGUCCCUCCCCCCACAACCUGCCGGCCUGAUAGCCACCCUGUGUGGUCCCAGUACCAGGUGGGUCAAUUUGGUGACCCAGAGCCAACACUUACUGGCCCCCUGAUCCGGGCUGGCC
rnacentral:lncRNA from 1 species